rnacentral:lncRNA from 1 species
UUUUGUUUCGAAUUUAUUUAAAUAAUAUUUAUAUUCUUUAAUGUUUUUGAAAAUGUAUUUAAUUUGAUUUUUUUUAAAUAUAUUUUCCAAAUAUAAUAUUUGUGAUUAAUUUUCUUUAUAACUAAUUUAUUUUAAUGCGUAUUGUAUGGUAGUUAGAAUUCGGUUCCCUUGAUUUUGUGAGAUUAUGCUUUCUUUUGUUAUCUCUUGUUCAAUG